rnacentral:rRNA from 1 species
GACGAACGCUGGCGGCGUGCUUAACACAUGCAAGUCGAACGGAAAGGCCCCUUUGGGGGUACUCGAGUGGCGAACGGGUGAGUAACACGUGAGUAACCUGCCCUUGACUUCGGGAUAACUUCAGGAAACUGGGGCUAAUACCGGAUAGGAAUCCUUGCUGCAUGGUGGGGGUUGGAAAGCUUCGGCGGUUUUGGAUGGACUCGCGGCGUAUCAGCUUGUUGGUGGGGUAGUGGCUUACCAAGGCUUUGACGGGUAGCCGGCCUGAGAGGGCGACCGGCCACAUUGGGACUGAGAGACGGCCCAGACUGCUACGGGAGGCAGCAGUGGGGAAUAUUGCACAAUGGGCGGAAGCCUGAUGCAGCAACGCCGCGUGCGGGAUGACGGCCUUCGGGUUGUAAACCGCUUUCAGCAGGGGCGAAGCUUGUGGUGACGGUACCUGCAGAAGAAGCACCGGCUAACUACGUG